ensembl:lncRNA
ACAGACGUUUUGAUUGGAGCAGCAGGACAGCUCAAAGUCAUCAUCACUGACGUGUCGAAGCUGCUCUCUCUGUCAAAAACAGCUUACAUUGAAGGAAUCCUUUGCCUUCCUGGAGAUCGAGAGCUAGUGCAGAGAACUCCAGCGCUGAAGAAGACUACUGGUUCUGUCCAAAUGAACUUCAGCAGAUUCACACGUCAGGCGCUCCAGCAGGCCACGCUGCAGCUCAACCUGUGGGAGAAAAACACCUUCAGCCUCACUGACCGUUUACUGAGAUCAGCACGACUGGACGGAGAAUCGUCAUGGCAACGCCUGCAGCAGAUGCCAGGAGAGUGGCAUGACUUCGUUCUUCCACUUCAUGCACAUGUCAGCACAAGCAUGAGGUCAUAACUGAAUAACCUGGAUCCUUUCCAUCAACCCACAGAUCCUGGCAGUGACAGUUGUGCUUACAGGCUUGCGAAGAACCAGAAUCAUGACAAACAAAUGCCCAGAUCGUCUUAAAAGUGCCUUAUUCUCAUUUCUUCAGACAUG